ACAAAUGGUCUGAGAUCUGGAUUUGUGUUUCUGCUGCAGAAGUGAUGGUUAUGCUGGAAGGAGCUACAGAGGCAUUCCCAGAGACGUGACAAAUAUCUGUAGCAAACAUGAAAUUGGACUGUUUUGGGCACCUCAGCAUGAGAUUGCACUUUAGAAGCAAUAGUUCCUGCAAAGUUACUAGGGAAGCAUCUGUACAAGGCAUGACCAGUUUCUUCUCCCUUUCUUGCAAAGACAGCACUGAAAGCACUAGAAUUUUUUGGCUUUGAAUUCAAAGAGAAUUUUUUAAAUAUGAAGUCAUGUCAAUAAAUGAAGUAUCCAGAUCUA